AAUGAACGUUGGCGGCAUGGAUUAGGCAUGCAAGUCGAGCGAGAAGUGUAGCAAUACACGGAAAGCGGCGGAAGGGAGAGUAAUACGUGGGAAUCUGCCCUUAGACCUGGGAUAGCAGCGGGAAACUGCUGGUAAUACCAGAUAAUGUCUAUGGACCAAAGGUGUGAUUCCGUCUAGGGAUGAGCCCACGUCCUAUUAGCUAGUUGGUAGGGUAAUGGCCUACCAAGGCGAUGAUGGGUAGCGGGUGUGCGAGCAUGACCCGCCUCCCUGGGACUGGGACACUGCCCAGACACCUACGGGGGGCUGCAGUCGAGAAUCUUCGGCAAUGGGCGCAAGCCUGACCGAGCGAUGCCGCGUGCGGGAUGAAGGCCUUCGGGUUGUAAACCGCUGUCGAGGGGGAGCAACUUCCAUAGAGUUAUCUUUAUGGAUUGAGUGAUCCCUGGAGGAAGGACGGGCUAAGUUCGUGCCAGCAGCCGCAGUAACAC
rnacentral:rRNA from 1 species